rnacentral:rRNA from 1 species
CCUACGGGCGGCAGCAGUGGGGAAUAUUGGACAAUGGGGGCAACCCUGAUCCAGCCAUGCCGCGUGUGUGAAGAAGGCCCUUGGGUUGUAAAGCACUUUCAGUGAGGAAGAACGCCUGGUGGUGAAUACCCAUCAGGAAAGACAUCACUCACAGAAGAAGCACCGGCUAACUCCGUGCCAGCAGCCGCGGUAAUACGGAGGGUGCGAGCGUUAAUCGGAAUUACUGGGCGUAAAGCGCGCGUAGGUGGCUUGAUAAGCCUGUUGUGAAAGCCCCGGGCUCAACCUGGGAACGGCAUCCGGAACUGUCAAGCUAGAGUGCAGGAGAGGAAGGUAGAAUUCCAGGUGUAGCGGUGAAAUGCGUAGAGAUCGGGAGGAAUACCAGUGGCGAAGGCGGCCUUCUGGACUGAAACUGACACUGAGGUGCGAAAGCGUGGGUAGCAAACAGGAUUAGAUACCCCGGUAGUC